GCUGAUUUAAGGCUUACUUAACACACUAACACUAACAACUAAAGGAAAAACGCCAAAUUGUCACUGCUCAAAAAAAGAAAGAAAUUUAUUCCUUCCUGGUAUUUACUUCUUUUUUUGAUGACAAAAUAAAACAUGAUUAUUGACUGCUUGUCCUUCUUUCUCUUCUUCUACGUACCAACCAAAAGAAAUACAUGAACUAAAUUUAUUCCUUCCUGGUAUUUACUUCUUUUUUGAUGACAAAAUAAAACAUGAUUGUUGAUUGCUUGUCCUUCUUUCUUUUCUUCCCCAUACAAACCAAAAGAAAUACAUGCAUAUGUUUAUCAAAUUUAUGUGCAUCUGUUACCUACUUACUAAAGUAGAACAAUUUUACAUUGUAAUUGUUGGUGACAAAAUAAAACGGGAUUGAUAGAUGAUCUCUUUCUGUUACAUGUAAAUUAUAUUUACUGUAAGUGUUGUUGUUUUUAAGCUUUAUUAUUAUUGUUAAUGUUCUCUUUCUGUUACAUGUAAAUUAUAUUUACUGUAAGUGUUGUUGUUUUUAAGCUUUAUUAUUAUUGUUAAUGUUUACGCACUAUGUUUGUUUUCAUUCUAAUUCUUAGUUAUCCCUUCCGGUGUUUUCUUGCUAAAAUUUCUGAUAGACUGGUAUUCGUAUUUUAUAGAAGAGGAGAAAAGCUAUGAAAAUUAUAAUAAAAGGAGGUAGAUAAAUAAAUAAAUAAAUGAUUAUAUAUAUGUAUAUGAAUUAAUUGAUAUUAUGAUCAACUAAUUUUUUAUGUAUUACUAAAAAUUGACUAAAAACAUUUGUUAUAAAUAUCAUAAUGUCACAAUCACUUUAAAAUAAUUGAUUGUACCUGUUAUAGAGUGCAAUGAACUUAUAUGUAAUAUAAAUAAAACAAAAAGAUUAUAUGCUAAUAUUUCUGAACUCCUAUUAAUACAUGAAUAUUUGUAAGCGAAACUUCCUCUCUAUUAUGUAUUUGCAUGAAAAUUAGGAAUAAAUAAAAAAGCAUUUUAUUAAUUAUGCUUUUCGAUUAAUAUGGGC